UAGAUGGAUGCUCACUGGUGUGGGGCGUUUAGCUGUUAACUAAAAGUUUGUAGGAUCGAGGCCUACCCAUCUAG
rnacentral:tRNA from 1 species